CAAUAGCGUAUAUUAAAGUUGUUGCGGUUAAAAAGCUCGUAGUUGGAUUUCUGCUGAGGACGAUCGGUCCGCCCUCUGGGUGAGUAUCUGGCUCGGCCUUGGCAUCUUCUUGGAGAACGUUACUGCACUUGACUGUGUGGUGCGGUAUCCAGGACUUUUACUUUGAGGAAAUUAGAGUGUUUCAAGCAGGCGCACGCCUUGAAUACAUUAGCAUGGAAUAAUAAGAUAGGACCUUGGUUCUAUUUUGUUGGUUUCUAGAGCUGAGGUAAUGAUUAAUAGGGAUAGUUGGGGGCAUUCGUAUUUAACUGUCAGAGGUGAAAUUCUUGGGUUUGUUAAAGACGGACUACUGCGAAAGCAUUUGCCAAGGAUGUUUUCAUUGA
rnacentral:rRNA from 1 species